AAGGACUGGAGCACUUCUCCUACAAAGACAGGCUGUGGAAGUUGAGGCUGUUCAGCCUGGAGAAGAGAAGUUUGUGGGAAGACCUCAUUCAUUUUUCAAAUCCCUCUCCUUUAUUUUCCAAUCUGGUUUGUUCCAGUCUGUGCCAUUACUCAAAUUUCUCUGCUAGCAGGGGCUACCUCAGUGUCCCACACCUCCAGCUGUUGACGUGUCUUUUUCCAAUACUGCUUUGCCUGGACUAACAUUUCUCUCUCUCUCUCUCUCCCCUUUCUUGAUUUCAAUUGAUAACAGAUUUGUUUUUCAAUUGUUUUUUUUAAACUUUAGUUCUGGGUUUUUCCACUGUGAACCCAAGACAGCCUGCACUUUUCUAGCACUCAGUACAAAUGUUACAAAACAUAGGAUUGGACAUUAUACCUCAGUGGAAGAGUCCAAAUCUGGUAGCAUCCAUGCUGACCAAAGACAACUUCACUGCCCCUGCUCCAGGACUCUGAGGAUGCGAUAUGAUACGGUGAUUUAUCCAGCCUAACCCUUUGCCAACAGUAAGCACAGAUGGAAGGCUAUUUAGAGGUGGAACACUGAAGAUGGCAUUAUUUGCCAAGAGUUGCAUUCCAGAGUUUAAAGGAAAGGAUCUGUCAAACAGAGAGGUCAUGCUGCUUUUCAGAUUUUCAUGGAAGACCAACAAACCCACAUUACUGGCAUCUGUUAACUGAAUGAGAGCACACAAGCCCAGACCCAAAUCUUACCUACAUGCCAUGAAGGAACUAGAAAGAUAGAAGUGAAAUUCAGGUUGCCUGGAAUGGCUGCACCUCUUCUAAAAAUAAGGAAGGAGAGGGAAGAGCUCAGCUGCAGCGAAGAAUAGAGAAAUCAGAGAGUGAGUGAGGGAGCUGCGAAGAAAAGAGCAGGUAUACUGCAUGUCCGAUGAGGUCCAUCUGUUCCUCAUUAACCAGAUGUCUCCCACCCACCUCCUGAAGUGCCAUUGACUGCGUAUUGUCAGGACAAGAAGGGGAUAACAAUGCCACCAUGGUGCAGACAUUCAUACACCAACAGGAGUCCUGCCAUGCAGCCAUCCCUCCCUCUACUACCC